GGGAGUACGUUCGCAAGAAUGAAACUCAAAGGAAUUGACGGGGGCCCGCACAAGCGGAGGAACAUGUGGUUUAAUUCGAUGAUACGCGAGGACCCUUACUUGGGUUUAAAUGUAGGUUGCAUGGAAGGNAAACUUCCCUUUCCUUCGGGACUACUUACAAGGUGCUGCAUGGUUGUCGUCAGCUCGUNCCGUGAGGUGUCGGGUUAAGUCCCAUAACGAGCGCAACCCCUAUCGUUAGUUGCCAGCAAGUAAAGUUGGGGACUCUAGCGAGACUGCCGGUGUAAACCGAGAGGAAGGUGGGGAUGACGUCAAAUCAGCACGGCCCUUAUAUCCAGGGCUACACACGUGUUACAAUGGUCGGUACAAAGAGCAGCCACUUGGUGACAAGGCGCUAAUCUCGAAAGCCGAUCUCAGUUCGGAUCGAAGUCUGCAACUCGACUUCGUGAAGUUGGAUUCGCUAGUAAUCGCGCAUCAGCCAUGGCGCGGUGAAUACGUUCCCGGGCCUUGUACACACCGCCCGU
rnacentral:rRNA from 1 species